rnacentral:rRNA from 1 species
AGGUGCUGCAUGGCUGUCGUCAGCUCGUGUCGUGAGAUGUUGGGUUAAGUCCCGCAACGAGCGCAACCCUUGUCCUUAGUUGCCAUCAUUAAGUUGGGCACUCUAGGGAGACUGCCGGUGUUAAACCGGAGGAAGGUGGGGAUGACGUCAAGUCCUCAUGGCCCUUAUGCCCAGGGCUACACACGUGCUACAAUGGCCGGUACAAAGGGCAGCAAUACCGCAAGGUGGAGCAAAUCCCAAAAAGCCGGUCUCAGUUCGGAUUGGAGUCUGCAACUCGACUCCAUGAAGUUGGAAUCGCUAGUAAUCGCGUAUCAGCAUGACGCGGUGAAUACGUUCCCGGGCCUUGUACACACCGCCCGUCACACCACGGAAGUCGAUUGUACCGGAAACCGGUGGGCUAACCUUCGGGAAGCAGCCGUUUAUGGUAUGAUCGGUAACUGGGGUGAAGUCGUAACAAGGUA